rnacentral:lncRNA from 1 species
AGGCCACAGCAUAGAACAUCUCCAGCUUAGACACAGUCUCGUUCCUAACUGCCAGUUCUCAGCCACAAUGGCUCAAAGAAGCCGAAGGCUCUGGAUGGAAGAAAAUUGCUUUCCACAGGCAAAAAUGGAAGAUAUCUGCACACACUGCAAGUGCACAGACAUCAGAAGAGAGCACUGCAUUCCACAUGGCAUCCAUCUGGUAUGAAACCCCGCAUUUUUUAAUAAACGAGAAGCCUGUUCCAUAUAUAGGGAGACUCCUGAAAACCUGGUGAUACAUAUAUUUGAAAAUGAGGGUGUUUCCAUAGGAAUGAAAGAAACUGUCUGUUUAUAGAGCCUGUUACAACAGAAUAGACCGAUUAUACCUAC